UGAUCAAGUAGCGCCGCUUGGUC
rnacentral:miRNA from 1 species